rnacentral:rRNA from 1 species
CUACGGGGUGCAGCAGUGGGGAAUAUUGCACAAUGGAGGAAACUCUGAUGCAGCAACGCCGCGUGGAGGAUGACACUUUUCGGAGCGUAAACUCCUUUUAUAUAGGAAGAAGAUGACGGUACUAUAUGAAUAAGCGCCGGCUAACUCCGUGCCAGCAGCCGCGGUAAUACGGAGGGCACAAGCGUUACUCGGAAUCACUGGGCGUAAAGAGCGUGUAGGCGGAUUAAAAAGUCAGAAGUGAAAUCCUAUAGCUUAACUAUAGAACUGCUUCUGAAACUCUUAAUCUAGAAUAUGGGAGAGGUAGAUGGAAUUUCUGGUGUAGGGGUAAGAUCCGUAGAGAUCAGAAGGAAUACCGAUUGCGAAGGCGAUCUACUAGAACAUUAUUGACGCUGAGACGCGAAAGCGUGGGGAGCAAACAGGAUUAGAUACCCCGGUAGUC